UCUUGUGAGCCACCGCUCCUUUCUCCUGGGUCCUGGUGGCACAAGGUUUUGUUUGUGCCCUCCAAGAGUCUUUUUUCCCCAAUCGUGGAAGUUCUAUAAUCAAGUCCCACUGGCCUUCAAAGUCAAAUUCCCUAGGGGUUCUUAGUCCCUUUGCCAGAUCUCCAAGUUGGGAAAUCUGUUGUAGGCCCUAGAACUUUUGCAACAGUGCAAAAACCUUUUGUUAUAACUAUUCUCCAGCUCUUGGGUCAUUUGCUCAGCAGCUCUGUGGUGGCGCUACUGGUGACCUCCUUCAAGAAAACUUAUGCCACACACCGUGCCUCCCAAGUCUGUUGCAACCAGAGCCUCUGUCCCUGAGGCAGGCCACUGAUGACUGUGCCUCCACAGGAGACGCUCAAACCCUCAAAGGCAGGUCUGGCUCAGUCUCUUGUGGGGUCCCUGGGUCCAGGUGCACAAAAGGUUUAGUUUGAGCACUCCGAACUUCUCUGGCGGGUAUGGGGUUUCAUUCUUAAUGCAGUUUCACACCUCCAAUCAUUCCCCUGGGGCUUCUCCUUUGCCCUUGGAUGUAGGAUAUCUUUUCUUGGUGGGAUCCACCAUUGUCCUGUCAAUGGCUGUUCAGCAGCUAGUUGCUCUUUUGGAGUUCUCACAGGAGGUGAGUACACGUCCUACUCUCCCAUCUCAAAUCACUCUGUUGAAUCAGCAUGUGUUUUAGCAUUUCUUUUUUCACCAUCUGUUAGGAUCCCAUUCAUUAAAAUGCAGAAACUCUGUUUCUUUUCUUUCCUAUUCCUCUCCUUUGCUCUCCUUCAUCCAGCAAAGAGGAUGGUUCAAUGACAGCUCAGUCAAGUUACCUGCCUCCCACAUGCACUUCCCACCCCAUGUCCCCAUCAAGAAAAACCCCUUGAGUGGUUCCUGAGCAGUCUCACAAUUCCUGAGGCUGGGAGCGCAGAGUAAGAGACUGAUCGCCCAUGCAAGAGCAAUGUCUGUGUUCCAUGGCCCCUGGAAACAACUGCAUCAUUUAAUGCUGUGGGUUUGUCUGAAUCAAGGUUGGGGGCACAUGUGUGAGCCCAUGCGGUGUGAUUUUGAAGCUCUGUGUGUGUGUGUGUGUUUCCUCAGGAGAUAUUUCCCUCUUACACAGCACAGGUCAACUGUCCACUUUAUAAAGACUUCUCAUCACUGCUGCACACUGGCUAUAAUUACCUGAUUCUUCCCUCAACUCAGCCACUCCCCAGAUUUGGUUAAAACUGAUUUUCCUCAGAUGGAGAUGGUGCUGAGACGAAUGGCCCAAGCUCCUGACCACCUAAGUGGAAAAGUCAAACUGAGAACCCAGGGGUGGUCCCAAUGUGGCUGCUCUGGAUCCCUGACUUGCAUUUUCACUCAGCCAUGAGAACCUCAGACAUGGAACAAGGGGAUCCCUGCAUCUACAUCCAUGCCUGGAGGUAUUAGCAGCUCCAGAGGUCCAGAUCCUGCCCAUCAUUAUAAGCCCCGAUGAAGAACUGGUGGAGGCAGGGACUGUCCCAGUCCUGGUUGAGGAACACAACACCAGUCCUGGUUGCAGUAACCUGGAGAUGCAUGGAACAGAUGCAUGGAACAGCCUAUGAAUACCAUCAUUACUCAAGCUUUCACUAAGGACCUGCCAGUCACCCGCCUUGUGACAGGACAGAAGAGACUCCAUGUGUCUCCAAGGCAAGCUGUUGGGAAAGCUGUUUGUUUGUUUUUCUGGUCUGAGAUGGAAACAUUGGUUCAUUUCUCUUUCAGUAUAAUUAAGUUAUGAGUAUUUGAGGGUGUUUGUUCCAAAUAUAGUCAAUUCCCUUGACUGGGAGAGUAUGGAGUGAGAGUCUCAUUACCAACUCAUGAUGCCUCAGUCCAUAAGACAUUAAAAUUGCUAGCAUCCAUUACAACCUGUAGAGUACAGAGCUCUCUUUCCUGCAGCAACUUUUCCUCUAGGAAAACAAUUCUGUAAUUUCCAACACAAAUGGACUUGGGAGUUCCAUCCUCCAGGAAAGGUAUUGCCUUUCAUCCUGAGUAUGUGUGCUCUGAUCUUGCUGGGUUCCCUGGACCCUACCACUGUUCCUCAUCAAGUUUUCUAUGGUCACCAAAUGAACCAAAGACUGUGCAUCACCGUGAUCUCAUCCUCAUACUGUCUUCUCUUCUGUCCUUGUGGGUGGCCCUUUCAGCAUGUGAAAGUGGUAUGCAUUCUAGAAUCACUCUCUUGGGGAGGAAAUGCUUUGUAGAUGAGAAAGUUGGGGCUUUCUUUCUGGUUUUAGUGUAGAGGCCAACCUGGUUCCAAAUUCCUGCUGGGAAUGAGUAUAGCAGCCUCAGUGAUAGAAAUUACAAGUAAAGUAAUGUGACCAAUUACUGUAGUCCCAGGAAGAAGCUGUAUAUGGUUAAGAGUGUAGGUUUGUGUCCAGGGUACUGGGUGUGUCUCUAUGUGCAAUGAAUAGUAUGAUUCUCUCUGUGUGUGUGAAUUUUUUGUGUUGUGAUUUCCUUGAUUAUGUCAACCUAAACAUCACUGUUACUAUUGUCAACUUCCUCCAAAAAAUGCCCAUCACCUUUGCACCAUGAAUAAGUGUGUAUAUAAAAAUUAAACACAGUAUACACAUUCACUGUAUGCAUUGAUUUUAUACCAAGUUAACAUCCUUUAACCUGGAACACAAAUCCCAUCACUACCUAGGGAAAUGUUCACAGGAUUAUUGUUAAUUUUUAUUUAUUUUUUAUUAGCUGGGUCUUUUUUGCUGCACAGGCUUUUCUCUACUUGUGGAGAGUGAGGCCUAUGCUCUAGUUAUGGUGUGUAGGCUUCUCACUGUGGUGGCUUCUUUGUUGCAGAGCAUAGCUUCUAGGGUUCUCCAGCUUCUGUAGUUUUUGGACUACAAAACUCAUGUGGACUCA